rnacentral:rRNA from 1 species
GAUGAACGCUAGCUACAGGCUUAACACAUGCAAGUCGAGGGGCAGCAUUUUAGUUUGCUUGCAAACUAAAGAUGGCGACCGGCGCACGGGUGAGUAACACGUAUCCAACCUGCCGAUAACUCGGGGAUAGCCUUUUCGAAAGAAAGAUUAAUAUCCGAUAGUAUAUUAAAACCGCAUGGUUUUACUAUUAAAGAAUUUCGGUUAUCGAUGGGGAUGCGUUCCAUUAGUUUGUUGGCGGGUAACGGCCCACCUAGUCUUCGAUGGAUAGGGGUUCUGAGAGGAAGGUCCCCCACAUUGGAACUGAGACACGGUCCAAACUCCUACGGGAGGCAGCAGUGAGGAAUAUUGGUCAAUGGGCAGAGCCUGAACCAGCCCAAGUUAGCGUGAAGGAUGACUGCCCU